UGGAGCUAAUGGUGGACUCUGGAAGGGCUCACGCCAAUGAGCCCUUCUCAGAACCCCUGCUGCCAGUGCCCCUGUCUCCUCGGUGAUCCACAGCUGCCCCCCACCUCUGCAGGCAAUCCUCCAACACCAGCAGAUGAGAAAAGUGAGACACAGAGAUUUAUUUAUUUCGCAGCAACCUAUUCUGAUCACAAAUAAGAGUGCUGCUGGAAGACAAAGCCUAUUGAAAGCAUUUUCACUGCGCAACACAAAUGUUCCCAUGUUAAAAGCGCUAUCAACCAGGCCCCAUGGAUGGAGCAUGUAGGUCGCACCACUGAAUGAGACGUUAAGAUUCAAGAUAAAUUGCACCAUGAAACAUAGUCCCAGAGAUUUUUCUUGAAGAGAGGGAAGAGAGGAGAGAAAUCCUACUGUUUCAGUAAGGGACACAUGAUCUCCACACUGCAGCAUCGAAGGGCAGUUUCUACCACCUACACAUGAGGCCAACCUGCUAGGCUGCAGUGAGAGUAUGCUGAGAGAAGGAAGGAUUCAGCUGUGCUUCUGGCUACUCUGAAGGGGAGGC